UGCAGUCGUACGAGAGUUUUUACUCAAGUGGCGGACGGGUGAGUAACACGUAAGAAUUUGCCUUUAGGAGGGGGACAACAACUGGAAACGGUUGCUAAUACCCCAUAUGCUUUCGAGUGAAAUGGUUUUUCCGCCUAAAGAGAAGCUUGCGGCUGAUUAGCUUGUUGGUAAGGUAAUGGCUUACCAAGGCGACGAUCAGUAUCUGGUUUGAGAGGACGAUCAGACACACUGGAACUGAGACACGGUCCAGACUCCUACGGGAGGCAGCAGUGGGGAAUUUUCCGCAAUGGGCGAAAGCCUGACGGAGCAAUACCGCGUGAGGGAUGAAUGCCUAUGGGUUGUAAACCUCUUUUUUCAGGGAGGAACAAAAUGACGUGUACCUGAAGAAUAAGCAUCGGCUAACUCCGUGCCAGCAGCCGCGGUAAUACG
rnacentral:rRNA from 1 species